AUGAGAGAAUGGCCGCGAUCGAUGACAUGGAUUUCACUAGUCUGCGGAAUAUCAAGUGUGAUAAUCUGUUCAAAUCGGCUUUCUCAAUGGCUUGCUGGUCUAUACGACCCUGAUUCCCGUGAGGUUGUUGUACCCGGUCGCGGAAGGUUACCGGUCAGUGAAGAGUCUGUGCAUCGUAUAAUGGGUGUGCCCCGAGGUGAUAUUGCGGUGGAUUUCAAGGUUCCUACAGAUGCAGAGCUUGAGCUUGCGGGAGAUCUUUUUGGUGAUCUUGGACAUGCUCCUAAAACUAUGGAUGUAUUAAACCUUAUCCUGAGCACUAACCGUCAUGACGACAAUUUCAAGCGCUUGUGGCUUGUGCUUGCUGCCAGCACCGUGAUGGCGCCGACGACUUCGAACAAGAUCAGCACCAGAUGGUAUCCUAUGUUGGUAAGAACAUCUGGCUAUCUUUCUAGUUCAUGCUUUUUAUCGCUUUUCUUUUCUGAUUUUCUACCUGGUAAUUUUUUGCUUCUUAGUCUGAUGAUUAUGCACAUAUGCACUUUGAUAACUUACCCUGAUUUUUGGAGUGUGGUAACUUCCGUCCCUUUGAUUUUCCUGUGA
rnacentral:rRNA from 1 species